rnacentral:tRNA from 1 species
GCCCCCAUAGCUUAGUGGCAAAGCGGCGGUUUUGUAAACCGUUGACGGGAGUUCGAUUCUACCUGGGGGCU